CUUUACAUGCUUAUGAGUUCGAAAGAUUCUAUCUACACUAAGUCAGAUUUUUGAUCUAAACCAAGACUCCUAAAAAGGCUAUUGAUGUUGUCCUGAUAACUGACACCUAAGUUGUUUCAGAAAAAUUCUAUAAAAAAACUCCUACAAGUAUCAUUUUUUUAAAAAUAUCCAUUGAUGUUGCUUUGAUAAAAUUUAAAACUCUUUCGAAAAAUUGGUUUUCAAAAUUUUUUUAGAAAAUAAAUACAAGGCAGUUAAAAGUGCAUAGUAAACUUAAGCCUAAACACAAAAUCCUACUAACCCAAACCAAUUAAAACCAUCCGGCCCUUCAAACACUUCCUCCUACCCUAAAAACACUUCCCACUCUUUCUCCUUCCUAACCAUCAAACCCUAACAAUGGGGCGCAAGACUACACGCCGGUUUUUCAAGAAAAACCCGACAUUCCGGCGACCCCUUCUCCCUCACCAACACCUUCUCCUCCACCGUCACCUCCACCGUCACAACCACCAUCUCCUCCACCAUCGCCACCGCCUUCUCCUUAAACCCAGCCACCCGCGACUCAACCCACACCACGAACUCAAUCUACCGCUAAACCACCACUAAACAGACCUGUUGUCCGUCGCCCUACCACCCGAAAAAGACCGGAAAAAAUUCCAUCCCCCUCGACCCGCAAACGAAAAGCCUCCGCUGCCACAGAUCCUCCGUCCUCUGCACCGUCUUCUUCUAAACGCUUUUGUACUUCUUCUUCCACCAGCGUCAAAGUGCUCUCAGGACGAGUUUUUGCGGAUCCUUGGAUUUCAAAGCCCGAAUUCAAAUUCUUGCUCGACGCCACUCAAACCCAAGGCCAAAGUUAAUCGGGUAUGGAUGUUUUGGAACUAGUGACGGCAUGCUGAGUCGUAUGGAGUUGUGUGUUCUAGGAGGGGAAUUAUUGAAGAAGGAUUUCCUGGGAUUCCAGCCUAGAGAGGCGUGUGCAGGGUGUUUGAAGAGGCAAGAGGAGGUGUGUGAUAUGAAAAAACAGCUUCACCAGAUAUUGGCGCGUCAGCGAGCUUCUGAUACGCUUACGGCACAGAGACACUGCCAACUUAUGUCUGUUGUCCUCCUUAAACCUCCCCAACCCUGAUCCUUGUCUUAUUAUGCAACUUUGCCUAUGCCUUGUAGUUUUUGGAUAAACUUGUCGGUUUUUUGUUAAACUGUUUGAUACUUUUUGGAUGUUAUUUUGGAUUGUUUUGGAGAUUGUGAAUUGGUGUUAGUUGUAGCACGAGCAUCCCUAGCUUACUUAGUUGAGCUAUUAGCUUUAUUGUAGAAUAUUUUGAUUAUGUGCA